rnacentral:rRNA from 1 species
CCUACGGGAGGCAGCAGUGGGGAAUAUUGCACAAUGGGGGAAACCCUGAUGCAGCGACGCCGCGUGAGUGAAGAAGUAUUUCGGUACGUAAAGCUCUAUCAGCAGGGAAGAAAAAAAGUCCUUUGGACUUUGGACGGUACCUGACCAAGAAGCCCCGGCUAACUACGUGCCAGCAGCCGCGGUAAUACGUAGGGGGCAAGCGUUAUCCGGAUUUACUGGGUGUAAAGGGAGCGUAGACGGCAGCGCAAGUCUGGAGUGAAAUGCCGGGGCCCAACCCCGGGACUGCUCUUGGAACUGCGCGGCUGGAGUGCAGGAGGGGCAGGCGGAAUUCCUGGUGUAGCGGUGAAAUGCGUAGAUAUCAGGAGGAACACCGGUGGCGAAGGCGGCCUGCUGGACUGCGACUGACGUUGAGGCCCGAAAGCGUGGGGAGCAAACAGGAUUAGAUACCCCAGUAGUC